CCUACGGGUGGCUGCAGUGGGGAAUAUUGGACAAUGGGCGAAAGCCUGAUCCAGCCAUGCCGCGUGUGUGAAGAAGGCCUUCGGGUUGUAAAGCACUUUCAGUGGGGAAGAAAGCCUUGGGGCUAAUACCCUCGAGGAAGGACAUCACCCACAGAAGAAGCACCGGCUAACUCCGUGCCCGCAGCCGCGGUAAUACGGAGGGUGCGAGCGUUAAUCGGAAUUACUGGGCGUAAAGCGCGCGUAGGCGGUCUGAUAAGCCGGUUGUGAAAGCCCCGGGCUCAACCUGGGAACGGCAUCCGGAACUGUCAGGCUAGAGUGCAGGAGAGGAAGGUAGAAUUCCCGGUGUAGCGGUGAAAUGCGUAGAGAUCGGGAGGAAUACCAGUGGCGAAGGCGGCCUUCUGGACUGACACUGACGCUGAGGUGCGAAAGCGUGGGUAGCAAACAGGAUUAGAUACCCCAGUAGUC
rnacentral:rRNA from 1 species